rnacentral:rRNA from 1 species
CAGCCGCCGCGGUAAUACGGAGGGUGCAAGCGUUAAUCGGAAUUACUGGGCGUAAAGCGCACGUAGGCGGACUUUUAAGUCAGGGGUGAAAUCCCGGGGCUCAACCCCGGAACUGCCUUUGAUACUGGGAGUCUUGAGUUCGAGAGAGGUGAGUGGAAUUGCGAGUGUAGAGGUGAAAUUCGUAGAUAUUCGCAGGAACACCAGUGGCGAAGGCGGCUCACUGGCUCGAUACUGACGCUGAGGUGCGAAAGCGUGGGGAGCAAACAGGAUUAGAUACCCCCGUAGUCCCUGUCUCUUAUAC